AGUUUAUUAAGAUAAUAAUUCUAUUAGCUUUCAAGGUUAAAAGUGUAUAUUUAAAAUA
rnacentral:tRNA from 1 species